CUUCUUCCCAAAUUUUAGUUUCAUCCCAAAGCCUAGCAGCUCUGCCAUCGUCGCUGCUCAGGAAUAAGCAAUGGAGGAUGUGAAACUUAAAUCAAGGAAAGAAGAAUCAGAAAAAAAGGACGAGGAUUCGAAGAGGAGCCACCGUGAUCGAGAAAGGGAGCGUGAUAAGGAGAGAAAUGGAGAGAGGCAUCGCGACCGAGAGAAGAAGGACCGUGGAAGCCGCCGCUCUGAGAGAGAGAAGAGUACUGAUUCUGAUGAUAAAUAUGAGAAAGAAAGGGAGAAGAAGGACAAAGAAAAGCACAAGGAUAGGAGGAGCCGGGAUGAUGAAAGAGAAAGGACCAAGGACAGGAAGAGAGAUCGAGAAGAAAGAGGUAAGGAUAGAGAUAGAGAUAGGGACAGUGAGAGGGACCGAGAGAGGGAGGAGAAAAGGGAGAGAGCAAGAGAAAAAGAGAGGGAGAGAGAAAGAGACAGAGAGAGGGAGCGAAGGGAGCGUGAAAGAGAAGAACGCGAGAGGGAAAGAGAGAGAGAAAGAGAGAGGGAGAGAAGGGAACGUGACAAAGAAGAAAGAGAGAAGGAGAGGGAGAGGGAGAGGGAGAGGGAGAGGGAGAGGGAAAGAGACAGAGAGAGGAGGGCAAGGGAAAAGGAGAAGCGUCGAGAGAUUAGCAGCGAUGAUAACAGCGAAGAUGAUUCUAGGGGACAUGAUAGGAAGCGUCGAAGGAGGGAUGAGGAUGACUACAGGGAGAGAGCACGGGAACAGAGCACUAGCAGGUCAAGCAGGCACAGGGAUGAAAGUGAUGGGAGCCCAAGGAAAAAGAGUGGUGAGGAUGAAUUGGAUAAGAAAGAGAAGAAAACCCGAGAGGAGGAAUUAGAGGAUGAACAGAAGAGAUUGGAUGAGGAAAUGGAAAAGAGGAGAAGACGAGUACAGGAGUGGCAAGAGUUGAGGAGAAAAAAGGAAGAAUCUGAGAGAGAAAAGCAUGGGGAAGCAUCAAAUGCUGAUGAACCCCAAACAGGUAAGACUUGGACCCUUGAAGGAGAAUCUGAUGAUGAAGAAGCACCUCUUGCAGGGAAAUCAGAGACAAAUAUGGACCUGGAUGAAAAUGUAAAGCCUGAUGAAGAAAUUGGAGAUGCAAUGGUGGUAGACUCUUAUAAUGGCACAGCUACUUCAGAAAAUGGGGAUAAUGAUGUCAUCGAGGAUGAGGAAAUUGAUCCCCUAGAUGCUUUCAUGAAUUCCAUGGUCUUACCUGAAGUUGAGAAGCUAAACAAUGCAGUGAUUACUGAAACUGUUGACGAAAAUAAAGUGGAGUUGAAGAAGAAAAAGGAAGAAGGAAAUGAGGGAGAGAAGCUGAAGAAAGGCUCUAACAAAUCUCUGGGGAGAAUAAUACCUGGGGAGGAUUCUGAUUCAGAUUACGGAGACCUUGAGAAUGAUGAAGGUCCUUUAGAUGAUGAAGAUGAUGAUGAGUUCAUGAAGAGGGUCAAGAAGACAAAAGCAGAGAAGCUAUCUGUUGUUGACCACUCAAAGAUUGAUUAUAAACCAUUUCGAAAAAAUUUCUACAUAGAAGUGAAGGAGAUAUCAAGAAUGGCUCCGGAAGAGGUUGCUGCUUAUAGGAAACAAUUAGAACUGAAAAUACAUGGAAAGGAUGUUCCAAAACCAGUUAAAACAUGGCACCAAACUGGACUUGCAAGUAAAAUUUUGGAGACAAUUAAGAAGCUUAAUUAUGAGAAGCCUAUGCCAAUACAAGCUCAGGCACUGCCCAUAAUAAUGAGUGGCAGAGACUGCAUAGGGAUUGCAAAAACUGGCUCUGGCAAAACCCUUGCAUUUGUGCUGCCUAUGCUGAGGCAUAUCAAGGACCAGCCACUUGUGGAAGCUGGAGAUGGACCGAUUGGGCUUAUAAUGGCACCUACAAGGGAGCUUGUUCAACAGAUCCACAGUGAUAUAAAGAAGUUUGCCAAGGUACUGGGAAUUAGAUGUGUGCCUGUAUAUGGAGGUUCUGGCGUUGCUCAACAGAUCAGUGAAUUAAAGCGGGGAACUGAGAUUGUUGUCUGUACUCCAGGUAGGAUGAUUGACAUACUUUGCACAAGUGGGGGGAAAAUUACAAAUCUUCGUAGAGUCACAUAUUUGGUUAUGGAUGAAGCUGAUCGUAUGUUUGACAUGGGCUUUGAACCUCAGAUCACCAGAAUUGUUCAAAACAUUCGCCCAGAUCGUCAAACUGUGCUGUUUUCUGCCACUUUCCCUCGGCAGGUUGAGAUUUUGGCUCGUAAAGUGUUAAACAAACCUGUGGAGAUCCAGGUGGGUGGGAGGAGUGUGGUGAACAAGGACAUUACUCAAUUAGUUGAGGUAAGGCCUGAAAGUGAAAGGUUCUUGAGACUGUUAGAACUACUUGGUGAGUGGAAUGAGAAAGGAAAAAUUUUGAUAUUCGUCCAAUCACAGGAUAAAUGCGAUGCUCUGUUUAGGGACUUGCUUAAGCAUGGCUAUCCAUGCCUUUCACUUCAUGGGGCUAAGGAUCAAACAGACCGUGAGUCUACCAUUUCAGAUUUCAAGAGCAAUGUCUGCAAUUUGUUGAUUGCCACGAGUAUUGCUGCCAGAGGUUUAGAUGUGAAGGAGCUUGAUCUGGUGGUCAAUUUUGAUGUUCCAAACCAUUAUGAGGAUUAUGUUCACCGUGUUGGUCGAACGGGCAGAGCUGGCCGCAAAGGUUGUGCAAUCACAUUUAUUUCUGAGGAGGAUGCAAGAUAUGCACCAGAUCUUGUAAAAGCAUUGGAACUCUCGGAGCAAGUUGUUCCAGAGGACCUGAAAGCUCUUGCUGAUGGUUUUAUGGUAAAAGUGAACCAGGGGCUUGAGCAAGCUCAUGGAACUGGUUAUGGUGGAAGUGGUUUUAAAUUCAAUGAAGAGGAGGAUGAAAAGAGGAUAGCAGCAAAGAAAGCACAAGCAAAGGAAUAUGGCUUUGAGGAAGACAAGUCAGAUUCAGAAGAUGAAGAUGAAGGGAUUCGUAAGGCAGGUGGUGACAUUUCAAGGCAUAAUGCUGCGCUUGCUCAGCAGUUAGUUGCAAUUGCUGCUGCCUCCAAAAGCACUACAUCUGCAACACCGACUCCUAUCACGGCUGGUCAAUUGCUUCCUCCUGGCGGAUUACCUGUUUCUUUGCCAGGAGUCAUUGGCCUAACAAUUCCAGGCCCAGCAGCAGUUGUGCCUGGAGCUGGACUGCCUGUUAUCAAUAACGAUAACACAGCCAAGGCAAUUGCAGCUGCCAUCAACUUGCAGCAUAACCUUGCAAAGAUUCAAGCUGAUGCCAUGCCUGAACAUUAUGAAGCAGAGCUUGAGAUUAAUGAUUUUCCACAAAAUGCUCGGUGGAAGGUUACCCACAAGGAAACUUUGGGUCCAAUUUCCGACUGGACUGGUGCUGCCAUUACAACCAGGGGCCAGUUCUUCCCACCAGGUCGGAUUCCAGGACCAGGGGAACGCAAGCUGUACUUGUUCAUUGAGGGCCCUAGUGAAACAUCUGUUAAGAAAGCUAAAGCAGAGCUUAAACGUGUUUUGGAAGACAUCACAAACCAGGCAUUAUCACUUCCUGGUGGAGCUCAACCAGGAAGAUACUCGGUCAUAUAAGUGUAAGUCAUGCAACGCCGUUACAACUUAAUCUCCCUGUUUCUGUUUUGGACUUAUCUGAGUAUUUUGUUAACUUUUCCUUGCCUUAGUGCAUAGUUUUGAUGCUUCUAAUAUUUUUGGUCUGAAUAUUUCUACCACCUUGCAAAUGCAAUUGACUUCUUACUGUUGACCUUACAUAGAGCUAUUUAAUUUUGAGGCCUGCUCUUUUCGGAGUGUAUGUUUGCUUGUGAUAUUCCGUCUUCCACCCUUCUUUUAUAUAUAUCCUGUAGCUUCUCAAGUUAGUUAUGCAUUUUGUCAGUUUCCAUGUAUCUUCCCCUUUUAAUUUUCUUUUUCGUUUUUUCUUUUACUUUUUUUGGUUUACUCUAUUCCCGUGGAUCGAGGGAUGAUUUAAAGCCUAUGCUGGCAUGUCCAAUAUAGUUUCUGCUCAUCGCCUUUGCUACCGGGGCUGUUGAUGAGAUGGCGAUCCGGUCUGGCUGGAAUAAGUUCCAUUUUAUACAUUUGGCCUUUUCAAGUCUCUUGGGCUUGCACCUCAGACCAUUUUUGAAUUUGAACAGGAUGCAAUAACAGGGUUGCCAUUUGUUGGUUUUGGAUCUCUUUGUGUGGUAUGAUCACACUGGGCUAGCAAACUACUAGAUGAACAGUAUUUUUGUGGCCUUGCUCGUUUCUCACCUGCUAUUAAGGCCAUAAGGCAUUUAUGGAUGCUGUUGUCAGGAAAAGAUUGUUGAAGGGAACUUGAAACAUCAUCAUGAGAUAGUAUACGCACAAAUUGAUGCUGUCUUUACAUGUGGCAAACGCUCCCAUUACGCUGUUUUACAUGUGAGUGGAACAGUUUGUCCUGCAAAAGAAAGAGAUGUCAAGCAUGUGUUGUGGCAGAAAGAGAUGUAUAUGUCUUAGCAAAUGAUGCAAAACUGUAUCAUGUAAACUCAUGACAGUUACUAACUUUGAUUAGACUCGGUGAUCUGAGCUUUCUAUUAUUGGCUUAUAAAAACUGACAUUAUCACUA